GGAUGAUAAAAUGAGGAAUUGAAGCACGCAGACAUGCUGAAGUUCCUAUGAGAAACAAUGCAAUUGUUAUACAGAAAUGAUCCAUGUAAAGCUAUAUUUAUGUUCACAAGCUUAUCGUCGUGCUUUGUACCUUCUCCUAAAAGAUGCGCAACAGAGAAAUAAAGAUUUGUAAAUAAUUGUACCCAUGUGUUGAUAUAGUUUAUAUGCUCAAUGUCCAAUGGUGGUUGCAUAUAAUGGUGCUGGGAAUUUAUAUAAUAUUUUCUUCUUGGAGUCUUCGCUGGUUUAGCUGAUGUAUUCGUUAGCAUCAGUGCAAUGUGGAUUACCAUUGGAGUAAUAUAACCUUCAAUGGUAACGUUCCCGGCGAAGAGGAAUUGUUAUUGGAGGGAUUUGUACUAUUAUGAGGUCUAUGUUGAAAAUGAAUUCGAAUCGAUAUGCUGUGGUCUGCUUUAAACUUCCGAUCAAAGACGGUACUUCUGUUUUACGUCGUCCUUGAGAACUUUGUAUGUCAAGUCAAAAAUAGAGCGAACACUGAACCCUCAGAUACAUAUUCUUCGACUUUUUUCGUCAAAAAUUAAUUUGUUUUAUAAAACUUUGCUGACUUUUGAGUUGGAUACUUAGGAUAUGCUGUCGUUACCUAAAGAUGGCAAGCCUCGACCACAAACCAUAUUCCAUCUAACAAUAACUUCCGCAAGUGUGUGAAAAUUCAUCCUCACAUCAUGCAACAUAAUUUCAUCUUAAAAUCGUGCUACAUGCCCAUGUAAAUUGACACCUAGUUUGACGUCUAUGUAGCAUGAUUUCAACGAAUGAUAAAGAUUUUAUUAAAUAUGAAUUAUGCUACACACACAUCUUGGUUGACACAUAGUUUAACGAUUUAAAGUCCAAAAGGUAUUUAGGUUUUUGUUUUAUAGAUUUUUUCAGUAUUUUUAAUUAUUUCCUCAGUUAAGUUCUUAAAUUCAGUUCCUAUAAAUAUUUUAUAUAAAGAGAAUUUAUACAGUGUAAUACUUGAAUGUUGGAUAAGUUGAUAGUUUCUCAAUUUAUUCUCUACUUCUUACCUUUUCCCCUUUUCAUCUCCUCUCUAUUUAUAAUUUGUGUUAUAGUUCUUGUGUUUUAUGUCAAUUUGAUAUCUAAGCAAGUCAUUUACCUUUAGUCAAAUAAAUUUCGUCAAGUAUUUAAAGGGCAUUCAAGUUCAAAAAACUCACUACAGCAAUCAUGACAAAAAGUCCAAAAUACACUAUCCAACAUUUUCUACACACCACACCUUUAUCCAUCGAAAAACUUUGAACCAAAAACUCUUAAGUGCUUGUUUAGUAGGGAUUUGAUUAAUUUAUUUUUUGAUCGUUAGAGAUAAAGUGGGCUCUACCUGUGAGAAAAGAAUUCAAAAAUGACGGUUGAAAUAGUGAAAUAACGAUCAAAAAAUUGAUUUUAAUCCAAUUAAAAUCUGUACCAAACAAGCACUAAAUCUGCUAUGCCUCAUUUGACAAGGCUUAGGCUUCGAACAUAGACCAUGUAACAAACUGCUAAAUAAACCUGCACAAACCCAUUCUUCAUGCUGUCAGAUAUACUAAAUAAUACUCAAUAAGACUAGAUAUCCUUCAUUCUGAGAGGAUUUCUCAUUAAAUAGAACCAAAUCAAACUAAAUAUGGUAAAAAUAAUAUAUUUGUAUACAGCACAAUAUAAUUAUAAUAUAGCUGUAAUAUUUCGUAAUCUUUAUUUAACCUUAUUAACACCCCCCUCAAAUUGAUACUGGUAAAAGCAUCAAAAGCAUCAAUUUGUAAUCUUGAACUACGACGAUGACAAUACUUUGUAUACGAAGAAAAAAUUCAAAUAAGAGCAAUCAACUAUGAAAACUAGUGACAACGAGAGACCAAGAAUAUUCCAGAUAGCUCACUCCCCCAAGAAGAAUUUUUGAAAAAAAUUCAUGAAGUUCCGACACGUAGUGAGCUCUAUCUUUUGGGAGAACUGAGUCACACAUAAUUCGUGUUUUGAAAAAAGCUAGGCCACUAUACCGGCCAAGAUUUCAGCAAUAUAUCACUGAUCAAGAUGCUGCAGUUGGAAGAAAUUCCACCGAAGAGCCUACACCAACCCAAAAAAAAAAAAAAAAAAAAAAAAAAAAAAACACACCCCCUUCCCCUCUUUAUCCAUUUUUCUUUUGAAGUGGCCUAAUAACUUUACCCUUUUCCUGUACAGUUGUGAACUGCAUUCAGUGCCAUCCACUUGAUUGUGUUGUUGCAACUAGUGGGAUUGAUAGCACCAUAAAGGCAAGAUACAAUAAGGAUUUUAGAUGGUUAAUAACUAUUAGAAGGUAUAAUAACAUGUUCAUAACUGAUGCAGAUUUGGACUCCAAGUGCUUCAGUCCCAUCCAUUGUAUCUGGUGGAGCCGCAGGACCAGAGGCUCCAAAUGUGUUAGAUGCUAUGGAAAGCAAUCAGCGCACAUUAUGCCGCACUCGUGAAACAUUUUUGUAUGUUUAGUAAAUGUUCGAAUAGCAUUUGCUGUUGUUUUCCUAUUUUACUUUGUUACAUCACUAUCAUCACCAACACGACUGUCUUCGUGGAUUUUCCACAUUGCUAGAUGUUCAUGCAUAAAUUGCUGGUCCAGUAUGAUGUUUCUCAAUGCAUUAAGGAAUUUCCAGAAUUUCUGCUAGGCUAACUUAUUUUUUAAAAUUUCUUAACCAAGAAUACAUAAAGCAAAAUUUAAUUACUGUAGUUGGGAGGACCAUUCCUUGGAUUAAGAACAUUUCUUUUCUUCUUGAAAAUUUGGUGAUCCAACGUUUACGGCUUUACCUGUCUCAUGACCAUCUUAUAUGCUUUUUAAAAUAAUAAUAAAUUUCUAAAAUCAAUAAUUCUCUUUAUUUUUGGUGAGAAAAUAUGAUCGAUAAAAAAUCUUAUUAGAACCUCUGUUCUGCUGCUUCAAAAUUGAAUUUAAUGUUAGAUUGAGAUAAACUCCCGAGGUUGUCCUCGAUUAAAUUCUUUCCCCCGUCAUAUGAAGUAUGGAUAGGUGAUUGUAAUGUUCUGGGAAAAUUUAGCUGCAUGGUUUUAUGAAAUCAGUAGAACAAUGAAGGUCAAUAAUAGCAGCAGAGGUUUAUUUAUUUAGUUUUUUAUAGAAGCUUAUAUUGUAUUUACAGCAUGAUAUGGUUUUGGCUUGUUCCGGGUCAUGUUGCAUCCAUUUCUACUGGUUGUAGUUAAUUUAUUGUUCAAUGUCACAUUAGGCCAUUUGAGAUUUUGGAGCGGUUUCGGAUGCAUGAGUUUACUGAAGGAAGUUUGCAUCCAUUUGAGUGCACACAAAGCUGAUCUUGUUUCAUGCCAUUGGUAUGGUAAAUUUAAACAGCUUGUUUCUCUUUUUGAAUAGUUUUCCAUGUAUCUAAUAAGUGCUUGCUUGGCUAAGCUUUUAAGUGCUUAGUGGUUAAAAAUGAUGAUCGACCAACUUUUAAAUGCUUAAAAGCACUACCCUAACAAUCACUAAGCAAUUACUGAAUAGUUCAUAAGUAUGUAAUCUAUCUGAAGCUAGAUAAUUAAGGGUUUUAAUUUUUGAGUUUCUAAAAUAAAUUGUUCCUUUUGACUUAUUUCCUGUAUGGCAAAUAAGAAGAAAAAAAUGAAACCCCAGUAGUUAUCUGUGUUCUCAAUGUUGUGCUACAGAGUGGCAGAGCAGAAAGGAUAAAUUGGAAGAAUCGUACGAGAAUUAUAAAUAGUGUAAAGCUUGUUUGGUAGGUGUUUAUAAUCAGUAUUUAUUAUAAUAGAUAGAAAUGAGUGGUUGAUAUAUGGUUAGUACUUGUGAGUCCUACGAAAUGUGUGGAUAGGUUUGACUGUAAGUAUGUUAAUAUUAAACACCUUCAAACAUGGAGAAACAUAGGCAGACAUAGAGUGAUGUUACUUUUGAGGGUAUGAAAUUUGCUCCUUGUUUGAAAUUAUAUUAAAGCACAAUAAUUUACGUUUUACGCUUCUAUCUGUAAAAAAUUAUCUUUCAUCUUGGUUUCAGCAGGAUGAUAAAAUGAGGAAUUGAAGCACGCAGACAUGCUGAAGUUCCUAUGAGAAACAAUGCAAUUGUUAUACAGAAAUGAUCCAUGUAAAGCUAUAUUUAUGUUCACAAGCUUAUCGUCGUGCUUUGUACCUUCUCCUAAAAGAUGCGCAACAGAGAAAUAAAGAUUUGUAAAUAAUUGUACCCAUGUGUUGAUAUAGUUUAUAUGCUCAAUGUCCAAUGGUGGUUGCAUAUAAUGGUGCUGGGAAUUUAUAUAAUAUUUUCUUCUUGGAGUCUUCG
rnacentral:lncRNA from 1 species